GAGAACACGUGGUUGGAGCGCGGAGACGUGCACGAAUUAAAUCCGAGAGUAGUAAUGAAAGGAAAAUUCGACUAAAUGUUGGGUGUCACAGUGAGAGCUGUUUGAGCCUUAAAUCAUCACAGACAAACAGAGGGUUAAGAGCAUGUGCGCGGCCCUCCUCGGUUGAACUUGAAGAUGACCGCCCCUUCAAAAGAUG